UACGAAGGGGGCUAGCGUUGUUCGGAUUUACUGGGCGUAAAGCGCACGUAGGCGGAUCGUUAAGUCGGGGGUGAAAUCCUGGAGCUCAACUCCAGAACUGCCUUCGAUACUGGAGAGCUUGAGUCCGGGAGAGGUGAGUGGAACUGCGAGUGUAGAGGUGAAAUUCGUAGAUAUUCGCAAGAACACCAGUGGCGAAGGCGGCUCACUGGCCCGGUACUGACGCUGAGGUGCGAAAGCGUGGGUAGCAAACAGG
rnacentral:rRNA from 1 species